rnacentral:rRNA from 1 species
GAUGAACGCUGGCGGCGUGCCUAAUACAUGCAAGUCGAGCGAACGGACGAGAAGCUUGCUUCUCUGAUGUUAGCGGCGGACGGGUGAGUAACACGUGGAUAACCUACCUAUAAGACUGGGAUAACUUCGGGAAACCGGAGCUAAUACCGGAUAAUAUUUUGAACCGCAUGGUUCAAAAGUGAAAGACGGUCUUUCUGUCACUUAUAGAUGGAUCCGCGCUGCAUUAGCUAGUUGGUAAGGUAACGGCUUACCAAGGCAACGAUGCAUAGCCGACCUGAGAGGCGGAUCGGCCGCCCUGGAACUGAGCCACGGUCCAGACUCCUACGGGAGGCAGCAGUAGGGAAUCUUCCGCAAUGGGCGAAAGCCUGACGGAGCAACGCCGCGUGAGUGAUGAAGGUCUUCGGAGCGUAAAACUCUGUUAUUAGGGAAGAACAUAUGUGUAAGUAAAUGUGCACAUCUUGACGGUACCUAAUCAGAAAGCCACGGCUAACUACGUG